GGAACAUCUUGCGUACGUUGCCUGUUAGACCGUGCACCGCCUGAUUCCAGUGUGACUGUAUGUUCUUCUCCAGAGCUUCAAAUAUGAUGGGGAAGAUGACGCUGCGAUGCUGGGCGAUCAAACUGACGAUGUGAUCGUUGUUCCAGAGAAAAAGGGAACGCUCUGCGACCUGGAAAUGGGAACUAUUGAGGCACCGACCAAUCUGCUUAAAAAGGGGAAUCAUACAGCGCUGGAACUCCGCUGGUUGCGUCGCUUCCAGGACCUCCUCCAGUUCACCAAGGAACAGCACCUCUUUCUGACAAUUAGUC
rnacentral:misc_RNA from 1 species